AGUAUAUGUAAUGAAUUGUGUGAAGGUUGUGUGCUAGUGUGAGUAAGGAAGAAGAGAAAAAAUGUGAGUUGUUAUGUGUAGGUGAGAGUGAUUAUGUGGGUGAAUUGUUGGUGUAAUUGUGCGUGUACGACAAGUGGAAAAUGGGUGAGUGAGUAUAAGGGUACGGGCUUGCACUCAAUAGUCAAUCAAUUCAUUUUUCCGCUUUCUAUCGCACGCUUCAACUAUUUGUUUAUAUAGUGUGUGAAGUCUAACUAAUGGAAAGUGCCUAUGAAUGAGUUCCAAGAAACCAUUC
rnacentral:lncRNA from 1 species